AGAGUUUGAUCCUGGCUCAGGAUGAACGCUAGCGGCAGGCCUAACACAUGCAAGUCGAACGGUAAGGUCCUUUCGGGGAUACACGAGUGGCGCACGGGUGAGUAACGCGUAUGCAACCUACCUUUAACUGGGGCAUAGCUCCGAGAAAUCGGGAUUAAUACCCCAUAGUAUUCUAAAUUCGCAUGUUUUUAGAAUUAAAGUUCCGACGGUUAAAGAUGGGCAUGCGUGACAUUAGUUUGUUGGUGAGGUAACUGCUCACCAAGACUAUGAUGUCUAGGGGGUCUGAGAGGAUGGUCCCCCACACUGGUACUGAGACACGGACCAGACUCCUACGGGAGGCAGCAGUGAGGAAUAUUGGUCAAUGGGCGCAAGCCUGAACCAGCCAUGCCGCGUGCAGGAUGAAUGCCCUACGGGUUGUAAACUGCUUUUAUACAGGAAGAAACUCUUGGUUUUUACCGGGAUUGACGGUACUGUAUGAAUAAGGAUCGGCUAACUCCGUGCCAGCAGCCGCGGUAAUACGGAGGAUCCAAGCGUUAUCCGGAUUUAUUGGGUUUAAAGGGUGUGUAGGCGGAGUAAUAAGUCAGUGGUGAAAUCUUUCGGCUUAACCGGAAAACUGCCAUAGAUACUGUUAUUCUUGAGUUCAGUUGAGGUAGGCGGAAUGUGUCAUGUAGCAGUGAAAUGCUUAGAUAUGACACAGAACACCGAUUGCGUAGGCAGCUUGCUAAACUGAUACUGACGCUGAGGCACGAAAGCGUGGGUAGCGAACAGGAUUAGAUACCCUGGUAGUCCACGCUGUAAACUAUGAUUACUCGAUGUAUGCGAUACACAGUGUGCGUCUGAGCGAAAGCAUUAAGUAAUCCACCUGGGGAGUACGAUCGCAAGGUUGAAACUCAAAGGAAUUGACGGGGGCCCGCACAAGCGGAGGAACAUGUGGUUUAAUUCGAUGAUACGCGAGGAACCUUACCUGGGCUUAAAUGCAGUAUGACUUUUCUCGAAAGAGAUUUUCCCUUCGGGGCAGAUUGCAAGGUGCUGCAUGGUUGUCGUCAGCUCGUGCCGUGAGGUGUCGGGUUAAGUCCCAUAACGAGCGCAACCCUUAUCAUUAGUUGCCAUCGGGUAAUGCCGGGGACUCUAAUGAAACUGCCAGUGUAAACUGCGAGGAAGGUGGGGAUGACGUCAAAUCAGCACGGCCCUUAUGUCCAGGGCUACACACGUGUUACAAUGGCCAGUACAAAGGGCAGCUACCUGGUGACAGGAUGCUAAUCUCGAAAACUGGUCUUAGUUCGGAUCGAAGUCUGCAAUUCGACUUCGUGAAGCUGGAUUCGCUAGUAAUCGUAUAUCAGCAAUGAUACGGUGAAUACGUUCCCGGGCCUUGUACACACCGCCCGUCAAGCCAUGGAAGCCGGGGGUACUUAAAGUCCGUAACCGCAAGGAGCGGCCUAGGGUAAAACUGGUAACUGGGGCUAAGUCGUAACAAGGUA
rnacentral:rRNA from 1 species